UUUGGACAUGGGCGCAAGCCUGNCCAGCAAUGCCGCGUGAGUGAUGAAGGCCUUCGGGUUGUAAAGCUCUUUCGGCGGGGAGGAUGAUGACGCUACCCGCAGAAGAAGCCCCGGCUAACUUCGUGCCAGCAGCCGCGGUAAUACGAAGGGGGCGAGCGUUGUUCGGAUUUACNUGGGCGUAAAGGGCGCGUAGGCGGCGAUGUAAGUCAGGCGUGAAAGCCCCGGGCUCAACCUGGGAAUUGCGCUUGGGACUACGUUGCUGGAGUUCGGGAGAGGAGCGUGGAAUUCCCAGUGUAGAGGUGAAAUUCGUAGAUAUUGGGAAGAACACCGGUGGCGAAGGCGGCGCUCUGGACCGAUACUGACGCUGAGGCGCGAAAGCGUGGGGAGCAAACAGGAUUAGAUACCCUGGUAGUCCACGCUGUAAACGAUGUGUGCUAGACGUUGGGGAGCCUAGCUCUUCGGUGUCGCCGCUAACGCUGUAAGCACACCGCCUGGGGAGUACGGCCGCAAGGUUAAAACUUAAAGGAAUUGACGGA
rnacentral:rRNA from 1 species